rnacentral:rRNA from 1 species
ACUCCUGCGGGAGGCAGCAGUGGGGAAUAUUGGACAAUGGGCGCAAGCCUGAUCCAGCCAUGCCGCGUGAGUGAUGAAGGCCCUAGGGUUGUAAAGCUCUUUCACCGGUGAAGAUAAUGACGGUAACCGGAGAAGAAGCCCCGGCUAACUUCGUGCCAGCAGCCGCGGUAAUACGAAGGGGGCUAGCGUUGUUCGGAUUUACUGGGCGUAAAGCGCACGUAGGCGGACUAUUAAGUCAGGGGUGAAAUCCCGGGGCUCAACCCCGGAACUGCCUUUGAUACUGGUAGUCUUGAGUUCGAGAGAGGUGAGUGGAAUUCCGAGUGUAGAGGUGAAAUUCGUAGAUAUUCGGAGGAACACCAGUGGCGAAGGCGGCUCACUGGCUCGAUACUGACGCUGAGGUGCGAAAGCGUGGGGAGCAAAUAGGAUUAGAUACCCUAGUAGUCCCAU